CUCCUGGAAACGGGUGGUAAUGCCGGAUGUUCCAGUUGAUCGCGUGGUCUUCUGGGAAAGCUUUCGCGGUAUGGGAUGGGGUCGCGUCCUAUCAGCUUGACGGCGGGGUAACGGCCCACCGUGGCUUCGACGGGUAGCCGGCCUGAGAGGGCGACCGGCCACAUUGGGACUGAGAUACGGCCCAGACUCCUACGGGAGGCAGCAGUGGGGAAUAUUGCACAAUGGGCGCAAGCCUGAUGCAGCGACGCCGCGUGAGGGAUGGAGGCCUUCGGGUUGUAAACCUCUUUUAUCGGGGAGCAAGCGUGAGUGAGUUUACCCGUUGAAUAAGCACCGGCUAACUACGUGCCAGCAGCCGCGGUAAUACGUAGGGUGCAAGCGUUAUCCGGAAUUAUUGGGCGUAAAGGGCUCGUAGGCGGUUCGUCGCGUCCGGUGUGAAAGUCCAUCGCUUAACGGUGGAUCCGCGCCGGGUACGGGCGGGCUUGAGUGCGGUAGGGGAGACUGGAAUUCCCGGUGUAACGGUGGAAUGUGUAGAUAUCGGGAAGAACACC
rnacentral:rRNA from 1 species